UAGGGAAUCUUCGGCAAUGGACGAAAGUCUGACCGAGCAACGCCGCGUGAGUGAAGAAGGUUUUCGGAUCGUAAAACUCUGUUGUUAGAGAAGAACAAGGACGUUAGUAACUGAACGUCCCCUGACGGUAUCUAACCAGAAAGCCACGGCUAACUACGUGCCAGCAGCCGCGGUAAUACGUAGGUGGCAAGCGUUGUUCGGAUUUAUUGGGCGCAAAGCGAGCGCAGGCGGUUUCUUAAGUCUGAUGUGAAAGCCCCCGGCUCAACCGGGGAGGGUCAUUGGAAACUGGGAGACUUGAGUGCAGAAGAGGAGAGUGGAAUUCCAUGUGUAGCGGUGAAAUGCGUAGAUAUAUGGAGGAACACCAGUAGCGAAGGCGGCUCUCUGGUCUGUAACUGACGCUGAGGCUAGAAAGCGUCGGGAGCAAACAGG
rnacentral:rRNA from 1 species